rnacentral:rRNA from 1 species
UUUUGACCUCAAAUCAGGUAGGAUUACCCGCUGAACUUAA